CCUACGGGGGGCAGCAGUGGGGAAUAUUGGACAAUGGACGAAAGCCUGAUCCAGCCAUGCCGCGUGUGUGAAGAAGGCCUUCGGGUUGUAAAGCACUUUCAGUGGGGAAGAAAGCCUUGGGGCUAAUACCCUCGAGGAAGGACAUCACCCACAGAAGAAGCACCGGCUAACUCCGUGCCAGCAGCCGCGGUAAUACGGAGGGUGCGAGCGUUAAUCGGAAUUACUGGGCGUAAAGCGCGCGUAGGCGGUCUGAUAAGCCGGUUGUGAAAGCCCCGGGCUCAACCUGGGAACGGCAUCCGGAACUGUCAGGCUAGAGUGCAGGAGAGGAAGGUAGAAUUCCCGGUGUAGCGGUGAAAUGCGUAGAGAUCGGGAGGAAUACCAGUGGCGAAGGCGGCCUUCUGGACUGACACUGACGCUGAGGUGCGAAAGCGUGGGUAGCAAACAGGAUUAGAUACCCUGGUAGUC
rnacentral:rRNA from 1 species